GAUCGAUAUUCGUAACGAAUCAUCAUCGAUCGACACUUUCUCGUGAUUGACAUACGAGAGUUGAAAUCCGAGAUCCAGAUUAGAUAAUCAGAUUGAUUAUAUCUUAGUUUGAAUUCAAGAAUAAUUAAUAUCAAUAAACCCCUAAAGACCGAAUUUAAGUAUUACUUACCAUACGAGAGAACAUACUUGAAUCUAGCUAUUCUCUCAAAUGUUAACAACCUCAAAACAAAUCAAUCGAGCAAUAAACUUGCUCACAAAUCCAUUUACUGCUUUAAAAC
rnacentral:lncRNA from 1 species